rnacentral:rRNA from 1 species
GAUGAACGCUAGCGACAGGCUUAACACAUGCAAGUCGAGGGGCAGCACAGGUAGCACUACCGGGUGGCGACCGGCGCACGGGUGAGUAACGCGUAUGCAACUUACCUAUCAGAGGGGGAUAACCCGGCGAAAGUCGGACUAAUACCGCAUGAAGCAGGGGUCCCGCAUGGGGAUAUUUGCUAAAGAUUCAUCGCUGAUAGAUAGGCAUGCGUUCCAUUAGGCAGUUGGCGGGGUAACGGCCCACCAAACCGACGAUGGAUAGGGGUUCUGAGAGGAAGGUCCCCCACAUUGGUACUGAGACACAGACCAAACUCCUACGGGAGGCAGCAGUGAGGAAUAUUGGUCAAUGGCCGAGAGGCUGAACCAGCCAAGUCGCGUGAGGGAUGAAGGUUCUAUGGAUCGUAAACCUCUUUUAUAAGGGAAUAAAGUGCGGGACGUGUCCCGUUUUGUAUGUACCUUAUGAAUAAGGAUCGGCUAACUCCGUG